UGGGGAAUCUUAGACAAUGGGGGAAACCCUGAUCUAGCCAUGCCGCGUGAGCGAUGAAGGCCUUAGGGUUGUAAAGCUCUUUCGGGGGGGAAGAUAAUGACGGUACCCCCAGAAGAAGCCCCGGCUAACUCCGUGCCAGCAGCCGCGGUAAUACGGAGGGGGCUAGCGUUGUUCGGAAUUACUGGGCGUAAAGCGCACGUAGGCGGGACGGAAAGUCAGAGGUGAAAUCCCGGGGCUCAACCCCGGAACGGCCUUUGAAACUUCCGUUCUUGAGGUCUGGAGAGGUGAGUGGAAUUCCGAGUGUAGAGGUGAAAUUCGUAGAUAUUCGGAGGAACACCAGUGGCGAAGGCGGCUCACUGGCCAGAUACUGACGCUGAGGUGCGAAAGCGUGGGGAGCAAA
rnacentral:rRNA from 1 species